UGGUCUAAACACUUGCACAAGACCUGACAAACUUAACUGUAGGUGUGCCAAUGUGUUCCCAGUACAUUUUUGUGGCCAGCUGCUGGCAUUUCCUGCUCAUCUGACUUUCUCCAUUGCCUCCAGGUUUUCAUUCCCUGCUCAUCUUUGCUAUGGUAGCACUUUUUCAGACUCUGUGGAGUUGUGGUGGAUCUGGGGCUACUCAGGUGUGGUAACACCACCCAUAAAAGGUAUGUGCAACUCCUCUAAGUAGUAGCAGAGCUUGGAAGGAUGUGUUUAACCCUGAGUGGGCUGUGUGUGCUGUCACACCUUCCCUGGGAGGGUGUGCAGGAUCUGCCAUCCUCUUCUCAUGAACGCAAUUUCUCUCAAGUCCCAGCUGCAAAUAGUUAAUUACUGUUCAAUUGCAGUGUCAUUGCCCAACUCCUUUAAGUCUCUGUGUUCAGCCAGGAAGAGAGGACAGGGAAUCCUUUCUGUCAUGCUUCCUGUGGGCCCUAUCUAUCCCAGAGAAGGCUCCUGGCUGCUCCUGAGGUUCCCCCAGUUUGAGAAACCCCCUGAGGACCAGGCUGAUUGUGCCAGCACCAGAGCCACUCACCUCAGCAAGUGAUAAAACAGUGGCACAUCUUACCCAUGUGAGCCCACCCUGCAGGGAAGGGAGGAGGACACAGCACCCACUGAGAGUCCAGCCAGUCUCCUCCAGGAGCAGCUCUGGCCACAGCAGGCUGUAAAGGGUUGAUUAUCCCUGCAGGUCUGAGCACACUCACCAGUCACCUACUGCCAGCUGCAGGGAAGGGCAGCAGUGUCACAACCUCCCCACUCAAGUGUAAUCUGAAAGUUCCCCGCCAAUUACGAAGAUGUCUUGACCUCUUUCAAGCUGCCUGUUCCUCACUCAGCUGGAUAAAGGAGAGAAGCCAUGUGGAUUCCUGCUGUUCAUCCCUAGCCAAGGUGGACUAUUUCAGACUAAAGCCUUCCCUGUCUGCUUUGAGCCCGUUAGGCUUUGUUCUGGUUCUCCGUGGGGAAGCCGCCAAGAUGAAUACAGCUCCAGGAAUGGGUACUGAGGGAAGGGCUCCUACCUGCACUGGCUCUGCAACGUGCUGCUGAUGCUGCUAGAGGAAAAACUGGCUUUUAAGCAGCAGAGUAUGACUUUUUGGAGGAUACAAGGAGCUCCUGGCACCUAAAAGGGCUCAGACCCGGCUGCUCUCAUCCAUGAAGUGCAUCUGUUUGCUUGCAGGUGAAACAGAGCAAAACUAAUGGGAAGGGUUGUCCAAGCAUCCCUUGAAAAGGGCAAAGGCCUGAGGAUGCAGGCAGAGGUAAUGUGGUCACUGCUGAUCUCCUGCCAGGCUCACCUGCCUGUGGGCAGUGUGUGCUUCAUGCUGGGUGCUCAGCACAUUCCAGCCAGGCUGCUCCCAGCUUGAGCUGCCUGUCCUGGACUGUCCUGUACAAAACGUCCCUGUGUGAGGAGCUGCUUCCCAGCGGGCACAGACAGUCUGGGAGGUGAGAAGAGCUACAUGGCCUGCUGUAAAGGAGUGCACAUGAGGAAUUCAUAGAAG